UGUUACUGCUGAACUUAAUCAGAAGGUUGACAAAAAAAACUUGUUUAAAGAAACAAACACUAUUUCUUUUUCUCUAAAUCGUUUUGUUUUUAGCAAUUUUGCUUGUUCUGAUAUUGUCAUGGUGCCUCUGUCAGUCUCCUCCCCCUCUCCACUCUCCUCUCCUCUCCACCCGGCUGCUGAUUAUCCCCAGCUGCGACCACUCACCUCAUCACCUCGUCUGCCUUUUUAAGGAGCACCAGGAUCAUCAUUCCUCGCCAGUCCGUUGCCCCUGAUGGAAUCUAUUACCACGAGUGGUCGCUGCUGUCUGCCUCUGCCCGGAUCCCCAGUUGGGUUUUCUCUCCACGGUCACACCACGAGCCUCUGCCUCUGUUCCGCGGUCCUGCUUCCAAGACGGCCAUCUCUCUCUCUGAGGAACCAGCCUGUGACGCCUCCAGCCUCGGCCUCCUGCUCGGAGCCUGCCUCCAGCCCUGUCCACGCUCUUACCACUUCGCCUCCCUAUUAAAUCCUUUACCUGCCA